rnacentral:rRNA from 1 species
GACGAACGCUGGCGGCGUGCCUAAUACAUGCAAGUAGAACGCUGAAGGAGGAGCUUGCUUCUCUGGAUGAGUUGCGAACGGGUGAGUAACGCGUAGGUAACCUGCCUGGUAGCGGGGGAUAACUAUUGGAAACGAUAGCUAAUACCGCAUAAUAGUAGAUGUUGCAUGACAUUUGCUUAAAAGGUGCAAUUGCAUCACUACCAGAUGGACCUGCGUUGUAUUAGCUAGUUGGUGGGGUAACGGCUCACCAAGGCGACGAUACAUAGCCGACCUGAGAGGGUGAUCAGCCACACUGGGACUGUGACACGGCCCAGACUCCUACGGGAGGCAGCAGUAGGGAAUCGUCGGCAAUGGGCGGAAGUCUGACCGAGCAACGCCGCGUGAGUGAAGAAGGUUGUCGGAUCGUAAAGCUCGGUUGUCAGAGAAGAACGAGUGUGAGAGUGGAAAGUUCACACUGUGACGGUAUCUUACCAGAAAGGGACGGCUAACUACGUG